rnacentral:rRNA from 1 species
GAUGAACGCUGGCGGCGUGCUUAACACAUGCAAGUCGAACGAAGCGCUUAAAUGGAUUUCUUCGGAUUGAAGUUUUUGUGACUGAGUGGCGGACGGGUGAGUAACGCGUGGGUAACCUGCCUCAUACAGGGGGAUAACAGUUGGAAACGGCUGCUAAUACCGCAUAAGCGCACAGUACCGCAUGGUACGGUGUGAAAACUCCGGUGGUAUGAGAUGGACCCGCGUCUGAUUAGGUAGUUGGUGGGUAACGGCCUACCAAGCCGACGAUCAGUAGCCGACCUGAGAGGGUGACCGGCCACAUUGGGACUGAGACACGGCCCAA